UACGAAGGGUGCAAGCGUUACUCGGAAUUACUGGGCGUAAAGCGUGCGUAGGUGGUUUGUUAAGUCUGAUGUGAAAGCCCUGGGCUCAACCUGGGAAUUGCAUUGGAUACUGGCAGGCUAGAGUGCGGUAGAGGGUAGUGGAAUUCCCGGUGUAGCAGUGAAAUGCGUAGAGAUCAGGAAGAACACCCGUGGCGAAGGCGGCCCACUGGGCCGGUACUGACGCUGAGGCACGAAGGCGUGGGGAGCGAACGGG
rnacentral:rRNA from 1 species